CCCUUAGAUGUCCGGGGCUGCACGCGCGCUACACUGAAGGAAUCAGCGUGCUAAAACCAUUGUCGAAAGGCAUUGGUAAACCCAUUAAAAUCCUACGUGAUUGGGAUCGGGAAUUGCAAUUAUUUCCCUUGAACAAGGAAUUCCCAGUAAGUGUGGGUCAUAAGCUCGCGUUGAUUACGUCCCUGCCCUUUGUACACACCGCCCGUCGCUGCCCGGGACUGAGCCGUUUCGAGAAAAGCGGGGACUGCUGCUGUCGGGGCUUUCGGGCCUUGGCUUCGGUGGAAACCGCUUUAAUCGCAGUGGCUUGAACCGGGCAAAAGUCGUAACA
rnacentral:rRNA from 1 species